rnacentral:rRNA from 1 species
UACGUAGGGUCCGAGCGUUGUCCGGAGUUACUGGGCGUAAAGGGCGCGCAGGUGGCGGUGUUGGCCCGGCGUGAAAGCCCCCGGCUCAACCGGGGAGGGUCGUCGGGGACCGCACCGCUUGAGGGCGGUAGGGGCUGGUGGAAUGCCUGGUGUAGUGGUGAAAUGCGUAGAGAUCAGGCGGAACACCCGUAGCGAAGGCGGCCAGCUGGGCCGUCCCUGACACUGAGGCGCGAAGGCGUGGGGAGCGAUCCGG